rnacentral:lncRNA from 1 species
CGUGCAGAUGUCGUGUGCCCAGCAGUCGGGCCGAUGAAGAGCAACAAAUGAAGCGCCAGAUGUCUACAACUAUGGGAACUCUUAUACGUCACACAAAUGGGUAACCCUUCACACUUAUCGUUAACACAAAAUGCUAACCAUUCAGCACAGCUGGAAAAGCAGCAUACCCCAAUCCCGCUGCCAUUCAGGGUGAUGAUGGAGGGUGAAGAACAUGUCAGCGUAGGUGGCUUCCUCCCCUUUUCCCUCCCUCUGCAAAAACAACCUGAACUGCAGAAGAGUAUUGUAAUUCAAAGUGCCAUUGACAGGCCAUUUUUCACCACUUCCCAACUUGUAUUACAACCCCCACUGAUUACAAUACUUGAUUAAAGUUUUCUUGCUCACGG